ACACAUGCAAGUCGAGCGGAAACGACACUAACAAUCCUUCGGGUGCGUUAAUGGGCGUCGAGCGGCGGACGGGUGAGUAAUGCCUAGGAAAUUGCCUUGAUGUGGGGGAUAACCAUUGGAAACGAUGGCUAAUACCGCAUGAUGCCUACGGGCCAAAGAGGGGGACCUUCGGGCCUCUCGCGUCAAGAUAUGCCUAGGUGGGAUUAGCUAGUUGGUGAGGUAAUGGCUCACCAAGGCGACGAUCCCUAGCUGGUCUGAGAGGAUGAUCAGCCACACUGGAACUGAGACACGGUCCAGACUCCUACGGGAGGCAGCAGUGGGGAAUAUUGCACAAUGGGCGAAAGCCUGAUGCAGCCAUGCCGCGUGUAUGAAGAAGGCCUUCGGGUUGUAAAGUACUUUCAGUUGUGAGGAAGGGUGUGUAGUUAAUAGCUGCGCAUCUUGACGUUAGCAACAGAAGAAGCACCGGCUAACUCCGUGCCAGCAGCCGCGGUAAUACGGAGGGUGCGAGCGUUAAUCGGAAUUACUGGGCGUAAAGCGCAUGCAGGUGGUUCAUUAAGUCAGAUGUGAAAGCCCGGGGCUCAACCUCGGAACUGCAUUUGAAACUGGUGAACUAGAGUACUGUAGAGGGGGGUAGAAUUUCAGGUGUAGCGGUGAAAUGCGUAGAGAUCUGAAGGAAUACCAGUGGCGAAGGCGGCCCCCUGGACAGAUACUGACACUCAGAUGCGAAAGCGUGGGGAGCAAACAGGAUUAGAUACCC
rnacentral:rRNA from 1 species